AGCGAACGCUGGCGGCAGGCUUAACACAUGCAAAUCGAACGCCCCGCAAGGGGAGUGGCAGACGGGUGAGUAACACGUGGGAACGUACCCUUUGGUUCGGAAUAACUUGGGGAAGCUCAAGCUAAUACCGGAUAAGCCCUUAUGGGGAAAGGUUUACUGCCGAAGGAUCGGCCCGCGUCUGAUUAGCUAGUUGGUGAGGUAAUGGCUCACCAAGGCGACGAUCAGUAGCUGGUCUGAGAGGAUGAUCAGCCACACUGGGACUGAGACACGGCCCAGACUCCUACGGGAGGCAGCAGUGGGGAAUAUUGGACAAUGGGGGCAACCCUGAUCCAGCCAUGCCGCGUGAGUGAUGAAGGCCUUAGGGUUGUAAAGCUCUUUUACCCGGGACGAUAAUGACUGUACCGGGAGAAUAAGCCCCGGCUAACUUCGUGCCAGCCGCCGCUGUAA
rnacentral:rRNA from 1 species